GACGAACGCUGGCGGCGUGCCUAAUACAUGCAAGUCGAACGAGUGGCGGACGGGUGAGUAAUGUCUGGGAAACUGCCUGAUGGAGGGGGAUAACUACUGGAAACGGUAGCUAAUACCGCAUACCAUCAGAUGUGCCCAGAUGGGAUUAGCUAGUUGGUGGGGUAACGGCUCACCAAGGCGACGAUCCCUAGCUGGUCUGAGGGGAUGAUCAGUCACACUGGAACUGAGACACGGUCCAGACUCCUACGGGAGGCAGCAGUGGGGAAUAUUGGACAAUGGGCGAAAGCCUGAUCCAGCCAUGCCGCGUGUGUGAAGAAGGUCUUCGGAUUGUAAAGCACUUUCAGCGGGGAGGCGUUACCCGGAGAAGAAGCACCGGCUAGCUCCGUGCCAGCCGCCGCGGUAAUUC
rnacentral:rRNA from 1 species